CCUACGGGUGGCAGCAGUGAGGAAUAUUGGUCAAUGGACGCGAGUCUGAACCAGCCAUGUCGCGUGCAGGAUGACGGCCCUACGGGUUGUAAACUUCUUUUAUACAGGAAUAAAGUCAGGCACGCGUGCCUGUCUGUAAGUAUUUUAUGAAUAAGGAUCGGCUAACUCCGUGCCAGCAGCCGCGGUAAUACGGAGGAUCCAAGCGUUAUCCGGAUUUAUUGGGUUUAAAGGGUGCGUAGAUGGGUUGUUAAGUUAGUUGUGAAAGCUUGCGGCUCAACGGUAAAAUUGCAAUUGAUACUGGUAGUCGUGAGUACAGUUGAGGUAGGCGGAAUGCGUGGUGUAGCGGUGAAAUGCUUAGAGAUCACGAAGAACUCCGAUUGCGAAGGCAGCUUACCAAGCUGCCACUGACAUUGAUGCUCGAAAGUGUGGGUAUCAAACAGGAUUAGAUACCCCAGUAGUC
rnacentral:rRNA from 1 species